rnacentral:rRNA from 1 species
AGAGAGAGACAUGCGCGCAUAUCAAUAAGCGGAGGAAAAGAAACUAACAAGGAUUCCCUUAGUAACGGCGAGUGAAGCGGGAAGAGCUCAAAUUUGAAAUCUUAAAGGUUUUACCUUGACGAAUUGUAGUUUAAAGAAGUGUUUUCUGCUGAAGUUUUGGUAAAAGUUCUUUGGAAUAGGACAUCAUAGAGGGUGAGAAUCCCGUAUUUGACCAUUAUUUUCAGCUUUGUGAUACACUUUCAAAGAGUCGGAUUGUUUGGGAAUGCAGUCCAAAAUGGGUGGUAAAUUUCAUCUAAAGCUAAAUAUUGGCGAGAGACCGAUAGCGAACAAGUACCGUGAGGGAAAGAUGAAAAGAACUUUGAAAAGGAGAGUUAAACAGUACGUGAAAUUGUCAAAAGGGAAGCGUUUGACACCAGGUGUUGUUUUCUCGAAAAUCAAUUAAAAAUGGCUCGAUCUUGUAUUGUUGAGACCUUAAAAGCUCACUGUACAUUUUUCGUGUCUUUUUUAAUGCACUUUUCGUUUAACAAGUCAACAUCAGUUUCUUUUGUUGUAAAAGGGUCAUUGGAAGGUGGCUUUCUUUUCGGAGAAAGUGUUUAUAGCCUUUGGCCUCUGCAAUCGGAGAGACUGAGGUCUGCAGCGUAGACUCUUCGGGGUUAGAUACAUUUGUGCUAAGUUAUAGCUUUUUAUAGACAACUUGUUGACUAUAAUUAGUCUUGUAGCUUACUCGCUUAUGCUAUUUUACCUACGCUUAGGAUGUUGAAGUCAUCGUAUCGCGC